rnacentral:tRNA from 1 species
GGGACCGUGGUGUAGGGUUAGCGUGAUUGCCUCUCACCCAGUCGGCCUGGGUUCGAUCCCAGAAGGUCCCG